rnacentral:rRNA from 1 species
GUGGGGAAUUUUGGACAAUGGGGGAAACCCUGAUCCAGCCAUCCCGCGUGUGCGAUGAAGGCCUUCGGGUUGUAAAGCACUUUUGGCAGGAAAGAAACGGCGCGUGCUAAUACCAUGCGCAACUGACGGUACCUGCAGAAUAAGCACCGGCUAACUACGUGCCAGCAGCCGCGGUAAUACGUAGGGUGCAAGCGUUAAUCGGAAUUACUGGGCGUAAAGCGUGCGCAGGCGGUUCGGAAAGAAAGAUGUGAAAUCCCAGGGCUCAACCUUGGAACUGCAUUUUUAACUACCGGACUAGAGUAUGUCAGAGGGAGGUGGAAUUCCACGUGUAGCAGUGAAAUGCGUAGAUAUGUGGAGGAACACCGAUGGCGAAGGCAGCCUCCUGGGAUAAUACUGACGCUCAUGCACGAAAGCGUGGGGAGCAAACAGGAUUAGAUACCCCAGUAGUCC